rnacentral:rRNA from 1 species
AGAGUUUGAUUAUGGCUCAGGGUGAACGCUGGCGGCGUGCUUGACACAUGCAAGUCGAACGGUAUGUGGCAACACAUAGAGUGGCGAACGGGUGAGUAACACGUGGGAACGUACCCUCUGCAGGGGGAUAACUGACCGAAAGGACAGCUAAUACCGCAUAAGACCGAGAGGAGAAAGGUGCAACAGCAUCGGCAGAGGAGCGGCCCGCGGACCAUCAGCUAGUUGGUGGGGUAAGAGCCUACCAAGGCAACGACGGAUAGCCGGCGUGAGAGCGUGGCCGGCCACAAGGACACUGAGAUACGGGUCCUACUCCUACGGGAGGCAGCAGUGCGGAAUUUUAGAUAAUGGAGGCAACUCUGAUCUAGCGACGCCGCGUGCAGGAAGAAGGUCUUCGGAUUGUAAACUGCUGUGGUAAGGGAAAAAUGCCAUGUAGAGUGGAAAGCUACAUGGAGGGAUGGUACUUUACUAGAAAGCCCCGGCUAACUACGUGCCAGCAGCCGCGGUAAUACGUAGGGGGCGAGCGUUACCCGGAAUCACUGGGCGUAAAGGGAGCGUAGGUGGCCUGACAUGUCGACUGUGAAAACCCGGAGCUCAACUCCGGACUUGCAGUUGAAACUGCCAGGCUUGAGGACGGUAGAGGAAGACGGAACUGCCAGUGUAGGGGUAAAAUCCUUAGAUAUUGGCAGGAACGCCGGUGACGAAGGUGGUUUUCUGGGCCGGUUCUGACACUGAUGCUCGAAAGCCAGGGGAGCGAACGGGAUUAGAUACCCUGGUAGUC